UACGUAGGGGCCUAGCGUUGUCCGGAUUUAUUGGGCGUAAAGAGCUCGUAGGCGGUUUGGUGAGUCGGGUGUGAAAUCUCCACGCUCAACGUGGAGGGGCCACCCGAUACUGCCAUGACUAGAGUCCGGUAGGGGGAGUGUGGAAUUCCCGGUGUAGCGGUGAAAUGCGCAGAUAUCGGGAGGAACAUCAGUGGCGAAAGCGGCUUCCUGGACCAGCACCGACGUUCAGGCACGAAAGCGUGGGGAACAAACAGG
rnacentral:rRNA from 1 species